rnacentral:rRNA from 1 species
ACUUAAAAUUUAAAAGACUUGACGGUACCUCACAACAACCUAGAGGAGCCUGUCUAAUAACCGAUACUCCACGAUCAACCCAACCCCCCCUAGCCCAACAGUCUAUAUACCGCCGUCGCCAGCCUACCCUGUGAAUGAAACAAAGUAAGCCAAAUAGUCAUACACUAACACGACAGGUCGAGGUGUAACUAAUGAGGGGGCCUAAGAUGGGCUACAUUUUCUGACACAGAAAACACGAAUAAACUAUGAAACAAGAAACUGAAGGCGGAUUUAGCAGUAUACUAAGAACAAAAUACAUAAUAGAAACCAACGCAAUGAGGUGCGUACACACC